GACGUAGGGCGCGAGCGUUGUCCGGAAUUAUUGGGCGUAAAGAGCUCGUAGGCGGCUUGUCGCGUCGACCGUGAAAACCCGUGGCUCAACUAUGGGCUGGCGGUCGAUACGGGCAGGCUUGAGUUCGGCAGGGGAGACUGGAAUUCCUGGUGUAGCGGUGAAAUGCGCAGAUAUCAGGAGGAACACCGGUGGCGAAGGCGGGUCUCUGGGCCGACACUGACGCUGAGGAGCGAAAGCGUGGGGAGCGAACAGG
rnacentral:rRNA from 1 species